UGGGGAAUUUUGGACAAUGGGCGAAAGCCUGAUCCAGCAAUGCCGCGUGUGUGAAGAAGGCCUUCGGGUUGUAAAGCACUUUUGUCCGGAAAGAAAUCCUUGGCUCUAAUACAGUCGGGGGAUGACGGUACCGGAAGAAUAAGCACCGGCUAACUACGUGCCAGCAGCCGCGGUAAUACGUAGGGUGCAAGCGUUAAUCGGAAUUACCGGGCGUAAAGCGUGCGCAGGCGGUUUGCUAAGACCGAUGUGAAAUCCCCGGGCUCAACCUGGGAACUGCAUUGGUGACUGGCAGGCUAGAGUAUGGCAGAGGGGGGUAGAAUUCCACGUGUAGCAGUGAAAUGCGUAGAGAUGUGGAGGAAUACCGAUGGCGAAGGCAGCCCCCUGGGCCAAUACUGACGCUCAUGCACGAAAGCGUGGGGAGCAAACAGGAUUAGAUACCCUGGUAGUCCAGCGCCCUAAACGAUGUCAACUAGUUGUUGGGGAUUCAUUUCCUUAGUAACGUAGCUAACGCGUGAAGUUGACCGCCU
rnacentral:rRNA from 1 species